AUUGAACGCUGGCGGCAUGCCUUACACAUGCAAGUCGAACGGCAGCACGGGAGCAAUCCUGGUGGCGAGUGGCGAACGGGUGAGUAAAGUAUCGGAACGUGCCCAGUCGUGGGGGAUAACGUAGCGAAAGUUACGCUAAUACCGCAUACGAUCUAUGGAUGAAAGCGGGGGAUCGCAAGACCUCGCGCGAUUGGAGCGGCCGAUAUCAGAUUAGGUAGUUGGUGGGGUAAAGGCUCACCAAGCCGACGAUCUGUAGCUGGUCUGAGAGGACGACCAGCCACACUGGGACUGGGACACGGACCAGACUCCUACGGGAGGAAGCAGUGGGGAAUUUUGGACAGUGGGCGAAAGCCUGAUCCAGCCAUGCCGAGUGCAGGAUGAAGGCCUUCGGGUUGUAAACUGCUUUUGUACGGAACGAAAAGGUUUGGCCUAAUAAGCUGAGCUCAUGACGGUACCGUAAGAAUAAGCACCGGCUAACUACGUGCCAGCCGCCGCCGUAA
rnacentral:rRNA from 1 species